AGGCCCGUAGCUCAAUUGGCAGAGCGCCGGACUCCAAAUCCGAAGGCUGGGGGUUCAAGUCCUCCCGGGCCUGCCA
rnacentral:tRNA from 1 species